rnacentral:rRNA from 1 species
CGCCUACGGGGGGCAGCAGUGGGGAAUAUUGCACAAUGGGGGGAACCCUGAUGCAGCGACGCCGCGUGGGUGAAGAAGUCAUUCGUGACGUAAAGCCCUAUCAGCAGGGAAGAAAAUGACGGUACCUGACUAAGAAGCCCCGGCUAACUACGUGCCAGCAGCCGCGGUAAUACGUAGGGGGCAAGCGUUAUCCGGAUUUACUGGGUGUAAAGGGAGCGUAGACGGCAGCGCAAGUCUGGAGUGAAAUCCCAUGGCUUAACCAUGGAACUGCUUUGGAAACUGUGCAGCUAGAGUGCAGGAGAGGG